GACGAACGCUGGCGGCGUGCUUGACACAUGCAAGUCGAGCGGUAAGGCCCUUUCGGGGGUACACGAGCGGCGAACGGGUGAGUAACACGUGGGUGACCUGCCCUUAGCUCUGGGAUAAGCCUGGGAAACUGGGUCUAAUACCGGAUAUGACUCCAUAACGCAUGUUGUGGGGUGGAAAGCCUUGUGCGGCUAGGGAUGGGCCCGCGGCCUAUCAGCUUGUUGGUGGGGUGAUGGCCUACCAAGGCGACGACGGGUAGCCGGCCUGAGAGGGCGACCGGCCACACUGGGACUGAGACACGGCCCAGACUCCUACGGGAGGCAGCAGUGGGGAAUCUUGCGCAAUGGGCGAAAGCCUGACGCAGCGACGCCGCGUGGGGAUGACGGCCU
rnacentral:rRNA from 1 species